UUGAAAAAAGACAAUCGAAUUGGUUUCAUCGAUCCAUAUGCCGUGUACAAGGACACUAAAACUAAAGAUCCAUUGAAUCUGAAGCCUAAGGAAAUGAAGAAGAACAUCCGGAGGUUCUUUUAUAACCAAAGGCAUACAGAGAAGAUACUCUUCCCUUACAAUAUGGGAGAUCAUUGGAUACUCAUUGAGAUUAAGAUCACGGAACAAAAAAUACAUGUGUGGGACUCAAUGAAAAAAGAUCUGGCACUCUAUCAAGACAUAAUAGACAUGAUCCAGAGGGCUUGGGUUUGGCUACAACAAAAAUAUCGUACGGAUCUGAAUGUGUCACUUCCUCCUCC